GCCCGGCUGAAUACCCGGAAAUCUCAGCCCAAGCCCCAGGGCCCAGCCCCGGCUCGGAGCAUCUGCGAAGCGGCUUUCGGUCGUCCACGCCGGCUGCCUCACCUGGCACACGUCAGCCAGCAUGCAGCGGGGCACUCAGCAUGUCGCCCCAGCACGGGGGAGGCAGAGAUGGGGACUCGGCUUGGGGACCACCCGCUGUGCAGCUCUGCGGAGCAGGAAUGGCACCAGCUAUUAAAUGACGACCGACACAUUGGUUGAAAGGAAGUUUCCAGUAAGGAAGUGACAGUACGAUGCGGAUCAUUAGAGCCGUACAGUAGGAAACGCUUGCGUCCCCAGCCUGCACCUGCCUCUGCUGGGCCUGUUCCAACGUGGUGUUCUCAGAACGCAGAGGAGACGCGAUCGGGUACCGUGUCCCAGCAGCAGCGGGUGCCUGGACAAAUCAUCAGUGUGACUGAGGGCCAAGUGCAGUCCCGUGUACCUUGAUUACAUAAUAUUAAAUAAGAGGUCUGAGUGCCACUAGUUUAAACCGGACUCAUUCAGCUCUUUUUCAAAGAGCUCCCCCUACACCUGCCCCUAAACCAAUUUUUAAGAAGUGGUUUCUCUCCCUGGGGUGGGAGAGCCCUAACGAGCUGACACGAAUUUUCACUUGCAAGUUCUUCUGUCUGGUGUUUUUGUAAUUAUACUAUUAAAGGACUCCGGAGUCAAUGUUAAUGACAA